rnacentral:misc_RNA from 1 species
GAUGAAGAACGCAGCGAAAUGCGAUAAGUAGUGUGAAUUGCAGAAUUUAGUGAAUCAUCGAAUCUUUGAACGCACAUUGCGCCCUUUGGUAUUCCUUAGGGCAUGCCUGUUCGAGCGUCAUCUACACCCUCAAGCACAGCUUGGUGAUGGGCGCCUGUCCCGCCCCCCACGGGGGCGCGGACUCGCCUCAAAUGCAUUGGCGGCCGGCGACCUGGCUUCGAGCGCAGCAGAAACGCGUACUCGGGGACCGGGCGCCCGCUCCCAGAAGCCAACCCACCCAGUUUGACCUCGGAUCAGGUAGGGAUACCCGCUGAACUUAAGCAUAUCAAUAAGCGGAGAA